rnacentral:rRNA from 1 species
GCCAGACUCCUACGGGAGGCAGCAGUGGGGGAUAUUGCACAAUGGGGGAAACCCUGAUGCAGCGACGCCGCGUGGGCGAAGAAGUAUUUCGGUAUGUAAAGCCCUAUCAGCAGGGAAGAAGAAAUGACGGUACCUGAGUAAGAAGCACCGACUAAAUACGUGCCAGCAGCCGCGGUAAUACGUAUGGUGCAAGCGUUAUCCGGAUUUACUGGGUGUAAAGGGAGCGCAGGCGGCACGGCAAGCCUGAUGUGAAAGCCUGCGGCCCAACCGCGGGACUGCAUUAGGAACUACCGGGCUGGAGUGCCGGAGAGGUAGGCGGAAUUCCUAGUGUAGCGGUGAAAUGCGUAGAUAUUAGGAGGAACACCAGUGGCGAAGGCGGCCUACUGGACGGUGACUGACGCUGAGGCUCGAAAGCGUGGGGAGCAAACAGGAUUAGAUACCCCUGUAC